rnacentral:rRNA from 1 species
UACGGAGGGGGCUAGCGUUGUUCGGAAUCAUUGGGCGUAAAGGGCGCGUAGGCGGCCGAUCAAGUCGGAGGUGAAAUCCCUCGGCUCAACUGAGGGAUUGCCUUCGAUACUGUUCGGCUUGAGUCCUGGAGAGGGUAGCGGAAUUCCCGGUGUAGCGGUGAAAUGCGUAGAGACCGGGAAGAACACCAGUGGCGAAGGCGGCUACCUGGACAGGUACUGACGCUGAAGCGCGAAAGCUAGGGGAGCAAACAGG